rnacentral:rRNA from 1 species
UACGGAAGGCAGCAGUGGGGAAUAUUGCACAAUGGGCGAAAGCCUGAUGCAGCUACGCCGCGUGUAUGAAGAAGGCCUUAGGGUUGUAAAGUACUUUCAGCAGGGAGGAAAGAAAUAAAACUAAUAAUUUUAUUUUGUGACGUUACCUGAAGAAGAAGCACCGGCUAACUCCGUGCCAGCAGCCGCGGUAAUACGGAGGGUGCAAGCGUUAAUCAGAAUUACUGGGCGUAAAGAGCGCGUAGGUGGUUUUUUUAAAGUCAGAUGUGAAAUCCCUAGGCUUAACCUAGGAACUGCAUUUUGAAACUGAAAAACUAGAGUAUCGUAGAGGGAGGUAGAAUUCUAGGUGUAGCGGUGAAAUGCGUAGAUAUUCUGGAGGAAUACCUGUGGCGAAAGCGGCCUCCUAAACGAAUACUGACACUGAGGUGCGAAAGCGUGGGGAGCAAACAGGGAUUAGAUACCCGU